ACAAAAAUUGCAAAACCCUUUCUAAAUUCACUCACUCUCUCUCAAAGCCCCCCAGAAUUCGGCCUAGCUCCGGUCGUCGGCCGCCGUGUCAACUGCCAGUCAUCGGCGUCGGCUCCACCGUAGACGGCGGUCGGGAAACCGAAUACGCUCUGAUGACAGCGAUAAAGGUAUUGGCGAAGUCAACGGAGGCGAAGAUUCUAGCUUUUUGCAGUUUUGGUGCAAGGUAGCAGAUGGGGUCAGGUAGGCCUCGGGACAAGGUGCAGGCGGUGCGCUCGAGGAGGAGCGGCGCACAUGGGAGCAGCAGGGGCUGCAACACAUUAGGGUUUCUGCCCUUUUUUCUUUAUGAAAAUGUUAAGUGUUUUGGGCUGUUGGGCCUUAGGGUUUUUUAUUUUUAUUUUUGGGCUUGUAAUUUAUUUUUUUGGACUGUUUAGUUAUUUUGGAAAUUGGGUAGUUUUUUGGUUUAGGCCCAGGCAAAAAUGACCUAUUACAGUUACGCCAAGAUUUUAACAUAACAUCUCAGAACUUAGGGUGCGUCAACCAACUAGAAAGAAAACGAAAGGAUUGGACUCUUUCCACUGACCUCUCUGGAUGCGUCGAGAUCAACAGUGGCUGAUGGUUAGACUUCAACUUGUGUAGGUGUCGCAUAGUUGUGUUAGAUGCAAAUUCCUACCGAUACUCAUUGCAAAUAGAUCGACCCAAUCUUUCAAAUAAAUUUCUCUUAUUCCAUGUGAA